AUGAUGGAUAAGUUUUUUGAUGUGCUGUUGCAAUCGGCCUGCCAAUAUUUUAUUGAAGAUUUUUGCAUCUAUGUUCAUCAUGGAUAUUGGCCUGAAGUUUUCUUUUCUUGUUGGGUCUCUGCCGGGUUUUGGUAUCAGGAUGAUAUUGGCCUGAAGUUUUCUUUUCUUGUUGGGUCUCUGCUGGGUUUUGGUAUCAGAAUGAUGUUGGUCUCAUAAAAUGAUUUGGGAAGGAUUCCCUCUGUUUGGAUUGUUUGAAAUAGUUUUAGAAGAAAUGGUGCCAGCUCUUCCUUGUGUGUCUGGUAGAAUUCGGCUGUGAACCCGUCUGGACCUGGGCUUUUUUUUUGUGUGGUAGGCUCUUAAUUGCUGCCUCAACUUCAGACCUUGUUAUUGGUCUAUUCAUAGUUUCAGCUUCCUCCUGGUUUAGGCUUGGGAGGACACAGGAAUCCAGGAAUUUGUCCAUUUCUUCCACGUUUACUAGUUUAUGUGCAUAGAGUUGUUUGUAAUAUUCUCUGAUGAUGGUUUGAAUUUCUGUGGAAUCUGUGGUGAUUUCCCCUUUAUCAUUUUUUAUUGCAUCUAUUUGGUUGUUCUCUCUUUUCUUUUUAAUCAAUCUGGCUAGUGGUCUGUCUAUUUUGUUGAUCUUUUCAAAAAACCAGCUCUUGGAUUUAUUGAUUUUUUGAAGGGUUUUUCGUGUCUCAAUCUCCUUCAGCUCAGCUCUGAUCUUAGUUAUUUCUUGUCUUCUGCUGGGUUUUGAGUUUUUUUUGAUCUUGCUCCUCUAGCUCUUUCAAUUUUGACGAUAGGGUGUCAAUUUUGGAUCUCUCCAUUCUCCUCAUAUGCGUACUUAUUGCUAUAUACUUUCCUCUAGAGACUGCUUUAAAUGUGUCCCAGAGGUUCUGGCACGUUGUGUCUUCGUUCUCAUUGGUUUCGAAGAACUUCUUUAUUUCUUCCUUCAUUUCGUUGUUUACCCAGUCAACAUUCAAGAGCCAGUUGUUCAGUUUCCAUGAAGCUGUGCGGUUCUGGGUCUGUUUCUGAAUUCUGAGUUCUAACUUGAUUGCACUAUGGUCUGAGAGGCUGUUUGUUAUGAUUUCAGUUGUUUUGCAUUUGUUGAGCAGUGUUUUACUUCCAAUUAUGUGGUCAAUUUUAGAGUUGGUGUGAUGUGGU
rnacentral:lncRNA from 1 species